CUUCCUGAUUGUGCUGGUGUCAGAAAGAGCUCAUGGCAAGUACUCAAGGGGACGGAAUGGCAUCGGAAUAUUUUUCCCAGGGGAGAGCACUAACACAGUCCCUCACUACCACAAAUUAUGCAAUUGAGUUUUCCACAUUUGGGGAAAUUGCAGGGGUCCACAUAUCUGGAGUGUAAUCGAUAAGCCUCACCCUGGGAAAACCACCUUUGUGAUCAUGGCAUCUCUCCUGCCAGCUGCGUGGCCCAGAGGAAUAGCUGGUCAGGAUUUCAACGUGUCCUCUGGCGGUGCGUCCUUUCCAGAAGUGCAGCAGAGAAGCCAAGCUUGAAAUAAACUCACUCAGG